rnacentral:rRNA from 1 species
CCUACGGGAGGCAGCAGUGGGGAAUAUUGCACAAUGGGGGAAACCCUGAUGCAGCAACGCCGCGUGAAUGAUGAAGGCCUUCGGGUUGUAAACUUCUGUGGUCAGGGACGAUAAUGACGGUACCUGCGGAGGAGCCACGGCUAACUACGUGCCAGCAGCCGCGGUAAU